GUGAUAAUAAUAGUCCAACAUUAUGCAAAAUUGUAUAUUUUUUUAUUGACAAACGUAACCUUUCUUGAAAGACAAACCAUAAACUCCCCACCACUGAAUAUUCGGACCUCAGUCUUCUACAAAACCUAGAACAAACACUGACAGGACAGAAAAGUGAGAUUGAUUCUCAGUCUUGGCUCCAUUAGUCCAAAUUUCAUUUUAUUGUGAAAAUCUGCUCCUGUUGCAGCCCUUCCUGCCUGCUUCCUGACAGGUGGAGCUGGGACUCAUUCCAGGAAACAGCUCACCUGUGUCAGAGAUUUCUCUCCUGGUGGAGAGUAACCCUCUUCUUCAUCAACUCUUCUUCAUCAACUCUUUGGACUGUUUGAGGAAACUAAAACAAACGGUCGUCUCCAUCAGAGUAAAGAGAGACACAACACAACUCUACUGUUUCUGAUAAAAGGUUCAAGGUUCAAGGACCCAUCAGAGACCUGACCCUGCUCGAGCCCUGGACCUGGACCUGGACCUGGACCUGGACCUGAACCUGAAUCUGAACCUGGACCUGGACCUGGAACUGGAACUGGACCUGAACCCAGCUGUGUGUCCAUGAAGAGUCACCCGGUCCAUGGAGAUACCACUACUUUAAAAAAAGACCUUUAGGGAGAGGCAGCAGAGAA